UCAUUAAAAGAAAGACAUUUAAAAGGACCCAAACAAUCUAAUAUAUAUAUAUAUAUAUACCUUGUAGUUCAUUCUAACCUUGAAAAGCAAGUGCUGAUUUCAUUACAAUGGAUGUGUAUCGUCAAAUGACAUCUUCCAGCCAAAUCAUUAGCUCAAUAGAUGAGUUACAUCGGAGAAUACAGACGAUGAUUCUUGGUAGUUAUGGCUUGGAAGAAAAGUUGGAGCUGAUCAUGAAAUGCAACACUUUGCUGAGAAUGGUGAGAUACAGAGCCCCACCAGCAUAUACAUAUGAAUGAACUCACUGCCCCUUACAGAUAAACCAAUGUAUACUCUUCUCUUCCAGGAACAAGUUUCAGUGCUCCAAAGUGGAAGCCGAAUAUGGAAAAUGGAUUAAAUUGUCUCCAUCUCCUCCUCCUUUUAUCUUUAUCGUUGGCGAUCCUCUCAUGGCAACUGUUAUAUAUGGUUUGUGUAGCUCGAAUUGUCAUUUAGCAAGUAGUCGCUAAACAAAUGUCUAUCUUUCAGUCUGUCUAAGGCCAUACCAAAUUAUUCAAGAAAUGAAUGUUCGGGGAACAUUCAUUUGCAGAGGCCCGGACCAAUGGAAGACUGCAUGCAGCUAAGCAGAAUGUGAUGAUAACAGAGGAGACAAAGAUAGGCAUCCCACUUUUGCAGUUCCAACAGAGGGGACUACAAAAUCAAGCCACCGGAAGAACUAGUAGACAAAAAUCCAUCCCCAGCUUCUGAAAGAAUUUGACUAUACAGACUUCACCGUAAGAUUUUCUUACUCCAACGAGGGAAUUGUUAUAGAAGAUGAAGAGUCAGGCAAGCAGGUGUUUGCAUAUGCUGGUGGGAGCAAACACCGUAGGCAGCAACCACUCGCCAGCCCCCUUCCAUUCAUAUCAGAUGUAUAAGGUGUAACUGGACCUGCUUUAGCAAGGGUAUUACUUUCGUUUAAUUUUUAUGUUUGAAAUGAAUCAAACCAGCUCAAAAUAUAUAUGACCUGGAGUAUAAAUUUGAACAAUUAACAAUAAAAGAGAUUGCUAUUGCCAAA